rnacentral:lncRNA from 1 species
CGCCGUGACAGAUUUUACAAAAAACAUAAAAAUUCAGCUAAUCUUACAAUAACAUCCAAACUUAUAGAAACAAAGAGAAUGGUACAAAGAGAGCUCCGUCGUUCAUAUUGGAACUACAAUGAGAACAUCGUAACACCUUAGGAGGAAAACAACCAAUAUAGUAGUAUGAAACGUUUCUGGACAUACAUCAAACAUCAGAAAACAAAAAGCAAUGGAGUUGCACCAUUUCGCAGUGAAGGUAAACUACACACACACCCUGUAGACCACGCAACCAUUCUGAACAAGCAAUUCCAAUCUGCCUUUUCCACCAAGGACACAUAUAAUGAAUACGAGUUUAAAUCCAGAUGCAAUAUGCCAGGUCAAUAUCCCUUAGCAGAGGAACUCAACAUCACAGAAAAUGGUAUACCCAAACUUCUGAAAAAAAUAAAUUCAAAUACAGCAGCUGGACCAGAUAAUAUAAAACCCGAACAACUCAACGAACUGGCCACAGAAAUAGCCCCUAUCCUUACAAUCAUUUUCAAUCAUCAAUAGAAACUGGG